rnacentral:rRNA from 1 species
AUUGAACGCUGGCGGCAUGCCUUACACAUGCAAGUCGAGCGGCAGCACGGGUGCUUGCACCUGGUGGCGAGUGGCGAACGGGUGAGUAAUACAUAGGAACGUACCUUAUCGUGGGGGAUAACGCAGCGAAAGCUGUGCUAAUACCGCAUACGCCCUGAGGGGGAAAGCGGGGGAUCGAAAGACCUCGCGCGAUUAGAGCGGCCGAUGCCUGAUUAGCUUGUUGGUGGGGUAAAAGCCCACCAAGGCGACGAUCAGUAGCUGGUCUGAGAGGACGAUCAGCCACACUGGGACUGAGACACGGCCCAGACUCCUACGGGAGGCAGCAGUGGGGAAUUUUGGACAAUGGGGGCAACCCUGAUCCAGCAAUGCCGCGUGAGUGAAGAAGGCCUUCGGGUUGUAAAGCUCUUUUGUCAGGGAAAAAACACCGGCUCUAACACAGUCCGGGAAUGACGGUACCUGAAGAAUAAGCACCGGCUAACUACGUGCCAGCCGCCGCGGUAA